rnacentral:misc_RNA from 1 species
ACAAACUUGGUCAUUUAGAGGAAGUAAAAGUCGUAACAAGGUUUCCGUAGGUGAACCUGCGGAAGGAUCAUUAAUGAAGUCUGGGUCUAAAAAACCCUCUCUCUUCUACACACUUGUGAACUUACACUGUUGCUUUGGCAGGUUUCCAGAUGGGUUCUCUGAACCCGGACGGUCAGGUCGUAAGACGCCUGCCAAGGACAUUUAAUCCACCCUUUUUUUAAUCGUCUGAUUUUUUUGUUUUAAACAAAUAUAAAAAAACUUUCAACAAUGGAUCUCUUGGCUCUGGCAUCGAUGAAGAACGCAGC